UCCAUCCAGCCCUAUCCAUCCAUCCAUCUCUCUCUCCCUAUCCACCCAUCCCUCUCUAUCCAUCCAUCCCUAUCCAUCAAUAGGGAGGGAUGGAUGGAUUGAUGGAUAAUGAUGGAUGGAUAGAGAUGGAAGGAUGGAUGGAUGGAGAGAGAGAUGGAUGGAUGGAUUGAGAGAGAGG